rnacentral:rRNA from 1 species
GACAGAGGUGCCAAGCGUUAGGCGGAAUCACUGGGCUUAAAGCGUGUGUAGGCGGAUGUCUAAGUACCUUGUGAAAUCCCACGGCUCAACCGUGGAACUGCUUGGUAUACUGGAUGUCUUGAGCCAUCUAGGGGCUACCGGAACAAAUGGUGGAGCGGUGAAAUGCGUAGAUAUCAUUUGGAACGCCAAUGGUGAAAACAGGUAGCUGGGGAUGUGCUGACGCUGAGACACGAAAGCCAGGGGAGCAAACAGG